AUUGAACGCUGGCGGCAGGCCUAACACAUGCAAGUCGAGCGAGCGGCGGACGGGUGAGUAAUGUAUGGGGACUGCCCGCUAGAGGGGGAUAACUACUGGAAACGGUGGCUACUACCGCAUACUAUCGGAUAACCCAUAUGGGAUUAUCUAGUAGGUGUGGUACAGGCUCACCUAGGCGACGAUCGCUAGCUGGUCUGAGAGGAUGAUCAGACACACGGGGACUGAGACACGGCCCAGACUCCUACGGAGGCAGCAGUGGGGAAUAGUGCGCAAUGGGGGCAACCCUGAAGCAGCCAUGCCGCGGGAAUGAAGAAGGCAGUCGGGUUGUAAAGUGUUUUCGGUAGAGAGGCGUUAACUACAGAAGAAGCACCGGCUAACUCCGUGCCAGCAGCCGCGGUAAUAC
rnacentral:rRNA from 1 species